CCUACGGGAGGCAGCAGUGGGGAAUAUUGCACAAUGGGGGAAACCCUGAUGCAGCCAUGCCGCGUGUGUGAAGAAGGCCUUCGGGUUGUAAAGCACUUACAGUUGUGAGGAAAAGUUAGUAGUUAAUACCUGCUAGCCGUGACGUUAACAACAGAAGAAGCACCGGCUAACUCCGUGCCAGCAGCCGCGGUAAUACGGAGGGUGCGAGCGUUAAUCGGAAUUACUGGGCGUAAAGCGCACGCAGGCGGUUUGUUAAGCUAGAUGUGAAAGCCCCGGGCUCAACCUGGGAUGGUCAUUUAGAACUGGCAGACUAGAGUCUUGGAGAGGGGAGUGGAAUUCCAGGUGUAGCGGUGAAAUGCGUAGAUAUCUGGAGGAACAUCAGUGGCGAAGGCGACUCCCUGGCCAAAGACUGACGCUCAUGUGCGAAAGUGUGGGUAGCGAACAGGAUUAGAUACCCUGGUAGUCCACACCGUAAACGCUGUCUACUAGCUGUGUGUGCCUUUAAGGCGUGCGUAGCGAAGCUAACGCGCUAAGUAGACCGCCUGGGGAGUACGGCCGCAAGGUUAAAACUCAAAUGAAUUGACGG
rnacentral:rRNA from 1 species